rnacentral:lncRNA from 1 species
CAUAUCCGUUCAAAAAAUUCGAAAUCCGAAUCUGAUCCCAAAAAUAUGAACCGGAAUAAUUAUUUUUAUAGAUUAAUUUUAUACAAGUCCUUACAGAUAUAGUAAACUAUAAAUAUAUCUUUAUAAAGUUCAACUUUCAUAUAUUAUGUAGGCAAAAGUUCUAAUAUUUUCAAAUAUGUCCCUCUGGUUUAUUACCGUUAAAGCACUGACUAUUUUAUAAGUGAAAUGAUCAUUUUGCCAUCAUAAAUACCUCCCUCCAAAAGUCCCAACUGUUAAUUGAAGAGGGGUAAAAAGAUCGAUUCACCUCAUUAACUAACUACGGUUAAAUAUUUAACCUAUGGUUAACAAAAUUUUUCUAACGGAUUCUAACGACAGAGAUAUAUUUGAAAAUAUCAGACUUUUGCACUGACAAUAUAUGAAACUUGAACUUUGUAGGGAUAUAUGUGCAAUUCAUUAUAUUUGCAGGGACAUAUAUGCAAUUAACCCUAUUUCUAUUUAUCAUAUUUCAAAAUUUAUUGCAUUAAAUUUAAAAUUUUAAAAUAAAAAUCUAUAUAUAACAUCAAAUAUUUAUUUGUAUAUUAUAUAAUGUAAAAUCAAUUCGAAUUCGGUUGGAGUUCAGGUUCAGGUCCGAUAUAGAUAAAAUACAUGCCUGAAUCUAAAUCCAUUGGGUUUCGUUUUUAUUUCCAUAUUCGAAAUUAUAUCCGUUUAGUGUCAUAUAAAUUCGCUUCGUUUGGAUUCAAGUUCGAAUAAAAUUUCGAAUAUCCAUACCCAUUGACAUUCCUAGGCUUAAGGGGAAGUUUCCUAACAAUAAUUAAGAAAAUAUUGUGAAAGAAUUAGCAAGCCAAAAGAGUUAGCGGGCCGGAUUUCUUCGGGCCCUAACGGAUCCAAUAGGGGCCCGAAAUUAUUAUUGGGUUGCCCUAGUGGAUCAGGUUGCACCAGCGACAACAACAUGAUGUCACAAAUAUUUAAUUAUUAUUUUUUAAAAAAAUAUGCAUAUAUUAUUAUUUUAGUACCAUACAUAACUAUAAAAUAUUUAUUUCUAGACCAAAUUAAGUGGAUAUAAGUUUUCAAGUUUUACUUUUUAUAAGACUACUGUGUGCUGAUCUAUGUCUAUACAUUAUUUUUCAUAAAUUUGCCACAUACAAUUCCUCCGUCACCUUUGCCUUCUCCGGCCCUUUCCACUUCUUAAUGCUUCGUUUUUUCACCCUCCAUCGCUGUCCGAUACUUCGUCUUCCUACUCGCUCACUUUUUAAUUGAUAUAUUUACAUGGUCUAUUGUCAUCUGAACAAAUCACUUUUGCAGUGAACUAAGAUCUCUUCAGACUCUUUUUUAUAUACUAUCUGUAUUUAUUGAUAUCUCAUCGCAACUCAAAAAUUUUGAAAAUUGUUACUUUAUCAAUUCUUCUUUCUUUUUUAACCCACCGAACUGCGUAGAUAACUUUACUAGUAGAGAAUAAAAGUCAUUGGAUUUUGCUAUAAUUUAAUCAAAAAUUCGACUGGUUUGAUUAAAAUCGGACUGAUUUACUGGUUCAAUGGUUGAACCGCCGGUUUGAAUAGUUCAAACAGAUUUUUUUUUACUUAUCCGGUUCAAAGAGUUGAACGAAACUGCUUUAUAAGCUCGGUCAAGGUCAGACAGUUUGAACUGGCCAGUUCGAUCCAGUGCUUAAAUCAUUGGCCCUAAUUAAUUUUGCCGACGGAGGCAACUUUUUAGCACAAGUGGCUCGACACCUCCGAAAAAAUCUAAAAUGUGACGGUUAUAUGAGGUGAAGCUAUUAUAAUGUCCCAAUAGUCCCACAUUAUUGAAUAGAAAAUGAAUUCUGAUUAAGAAUAUACGAGGCAUCCCAUCCUAAUAAUAAUAAUUAGGUUCCAGCAUUUUGGACCGAUGGUUUAAAUCUAAAAAAUUAUUAUUAUUCGUGGGUCGGGUCAUAUAGCUGUAUCCAACCAAUCAAAUUACUCUUCUCUUAUUCAAAAGAAUUUUGAUGAGGAAUAUAUUGCCUCACACUAUAAUAAUAAUAAUAAUAAUAAUAAUUGGGUUUAAGUAUUUGUGGAGUUGGAUCUAACGAGUUAUUAUUACUAGUGAGUCGGGUCGUUAUAUCUGUAUCCAACCAAUCAAAUUACUCUCCUGAAAUUCACCUAUCCAUCAUUAUUUUUAGAAAAAAUAUUUAUUAUUAUACUUUUCUUUC